AACGAUGAAGUCUAGCUUGCUAGACGGAUUAGUGGCGAACGGGUGAGUAAUGCUUAGGAAUCUGCCUAUUAGUGGGGGAUAACGUAGGGAAACUUACGCUAAUACCGCAUACGACCUACGGGUGAAAGGGGGCGUUUAGCUCUCGCUAAUAGAUGAGCCUAAGUCGGAUUAGCUAGUUGGUGGGGUAAAGGCCUACCAAGGCGACGAUCUGUAGCUGGUCUGAGAGGAUGAUCAGCCACACUGGGACUGAGACACGGCCCAGACUCCUACGGGAGGCAGCAGUGGGGAAUAUUGGACAAUGGGCGAAAGCCUGAUCCAGCCAUGCCGCGUGUGUGAAGAAGGCCUUUUGGUUGUAAAGCACUUUAAGUGGGGAGGAAAAGCUUGUGGUUAAUACCCAUAAGCCCUGACGUUACCCACAGAAUAAGCACCGGCUAAACUCU
rnacentral:rRNA from 1 species